rnacentral:rRNA from 1 species
UUCUUCGGAUGAAGAGGAUUGUGACUGAGCGGCGGACGGGUGAGUAACGCGUGGGUAACCUGCCUCAUACAGGGGGAUAACAGUUAGAAAUGACUGCUAAUACCGCAUAAGACCACAGCACCGCAUGGUGCGGGGGUAAAAACUCCGGUGGUAUGAGAUGGACCCGCGUCUGAUUAGCUAGUUGGUGGGGUAACGGCCUACCAAGGCGACGAUCAGUAGCCGACCUGAGAGGGUGACCGGCCACAUUGGGACUGAGACACGGCCCAAACUCCUACGGGAGGCAGCAGUGGGGAAUAUUGCACAAUGGGGGAAACCCUGAUGCAGCGACGCCGCGUGAGCGAUGAAGUAUUUCGGUAUGUAAAGCUCCAUCAGCAGGGAAGAAAAUGACGGUACCUGACUAAGAAGCCCCGGCUAACUACGUGCCAGCAGCCGCGGUAAUACGUAGGGGGCAAGCGUUAUCCGGAUUUACUGGGUGUAAAGGGAGCGUAGACGGCAUGGCAAGCCAGAUGUGAAAGCCCGGGGCUCAACCCCGGGACUGCAUUUGGAACUGUCAGGCUAGAGUGUCGGAGAGGAAAGCGGAAUUCCUAGUGUAGCGGUGAAAUGCGUAGAUAUUAGGAGGACACCAGUGGCGAAGCGGCUUUCUGGACG